AGUUAACUAACUAUAACUUAGUUGGUACUACCACACACAUACUCCGUAUACUAGGCUAAACUCUUAGCCAAUGCAUAAACUAACUUGACCAACAAAUCAGCGAGGUAUAAUUAAACUAGGGGGUAUAAUAAAGUAUAAACAUGUGACAGAUCGUAUUGCUGAUGCAGGCAACGCGAAUUGAGCCCACGAGUCAGGAUCGCAUAAACGCCGAGGUCAAUGCUUUUUGCUAAUUUCUUUUCUUUUUGUUCGGUUUGUCGUGCAAUGUGCAGGAGCAAAUAGGGUGCGUUUCAUUGUUUCAGCUCUUGGUUUGGACGGGAGAUUGAUAAACGAUGCUGGAUAUGCUCUGUGGCAUAUCAUAUUAGGAUAGAUCGGCGCAGUGAGAUCUUCAUGUCAGGUAAUAGAAUCACCGGUCGGGUUUGAUGGUAAAGUCCGACGAGUGGUCGAUUAGGAUAGUAGACAGCUUGACUGGGUGUGAUUGUUGACGGUGGGUAAUGAGCGCGUGGCGACGAGGAUCUGACAAUGUCAUGUCAUUCGAAUUAAGAAGGUUACAUAUCAUCAUGUUCAGCCUCGUCUCAUAGACAAAGCGGUCAACGGACUUAGGAUAGCCAUGAAAUGACCAUAAAUAAUAAGGCCAUCCACAAUGUUUGCGAAAAGAGGCUAGCUAAUCAAGUCAGCCGGGGAAAAAAAAUCUGCACUUUGCACAGACUCGUAUUGCUGCACCCAUGUCCAUCAUUUGCCCUGACUGGUAAGACCGCAAGACACGUUUUGCCCAUCCCCACAUUUUCGAUCGAACAAUCGACCGAUCUUCGAAGCAUCAUGUCAGAGCUGAAUCUGAGUGUAUGCGAUAUUUGCUUUUUGAAUCUUUCUUUCAUUCCAGCCAAUUGGACCGUGAGGCUGGAUUUCAUUUUUAUAUUUUUCUCCGUGUUCUCCGUAUUUUUGUAAUUUCCGUGUCUGACG
rnacentral:lncRNA from 1 species